UGCUCCAAGUCACCCUGCUCUGUCUCUGCCUUGCUGCUAACUGGCACCAACACAUCUCUCUCAGAUCACCCGGCUCCAGAGGAACCUGCUUGUCCUUGGGACAUUUUCUGGGCUUCUGCAGCUGUGCUUGGCACAAACAAGGGACACCGAGCCCACGGACCCAACAGGAGAAAGACAAACAAAACGCAAAGGCACUGGAACUAUAGAUACAGGAAACAGCAACGGCACCGAGAUCAAUAACACCAAGUCAGACGGAAACAACACCGUGAUGGGUGAUGAGGGAGACUCGAACGAUGGUGCUGCUCCCACCACAAUUUCCAACCUCCCGACUUCUAGAGGAACCGAAGGCAGGGCAAGACUUUCCCUUCUUCAAAGCAGCUGAGCCGCUCUGUACCCAGACCAGUGUGUACCGGGGUCGGCAGGGUCCUUUUCCCACUUCACUUGUGUUCACCCAAGGCUGGCUGCCACCACACCUGGAGUCCCUGUCUAUGAACUGUCCUGUGAUCAGCACUGUCUCUCCUCUGAUUUUUCCCAGAAAAAUCCUGUUCCCUCUGAAUGGCUUGCUUAGUGUCCUGUUGAAUUGCCCACCACUAACCUCAGACAAGGGCAACUUUAGCGGGCCCUAGCAGGAUUUACAGGCUGAAUUAACUUGUGUCACUUCAAACUGAACCAGCUGUGCUGCUCAGGUUCAUCACACUUAGGAAACCUCAGGAAAGCUAUUGAGGUUUGAAAUCUGAGUUUGUAAUUCCACUGGUGGAUGGGGGUUUGAAAAGCCCUGCACAAAAGCGGGGUUUGGUUAAUGCUGUGAAGGUGAAAGCUUUGAAAACUACAUGGGUAUCACACCAUCCAUUCCUCAGAGAUGCAGCAGGGAAGACAGCUCUAGCACUGUAGGAAGGGCCCAUGCAUCACGAGCUAUAACAAUUUCUGCCCAGUAAACGUGAGCAGAUUCUGUGGUUCGAAAAGCCAGCUGCACUUAUCUCCUUAAUUCUGUUUGCAGAGGAUAACCCGAUUUCGUCAGGAUGUGAGCACACUGCAGGGAUCGCCCACCUCGAGGGAUUCUGGGCUCUGCUCUGGAAAAUCGUUUCCCUGUGUGCUCUCACUGCGGCUGUGUAAAAACAGGUGUGGGACUCUGAUAGAGGAACAUGGUUAAAAUGCAUCUGCAUUCGGAGCAACAUAAAGUAAAAAUGUGGAAGAAACAUAAAUAUCACAAAUGAGAUCAUACACAAUUUUGUUUCUCUGCCUUUUAAAAUAAACACUUUAAACAACUACGAAAGGAAACUUCCAGCUACUGUGGUUGAGCUUAUUGGUUGUGUGAUUUUCUUUCCUCAAUGCUCAUCUAUGAGCCACUUUUGCUCAAAACCAUUUAAUGACUUCAUUCAUUUUCAUGCAAGAUCGGCAUUUUAAGAAAGCUGUCUCAGAAAGAAGUUCUUUAACCAUUAAGCCCUGAUGCUACAGUACAUUAAAUCUCAAUGUACAAAUAGCCACAUUUGUACCAUGAAAUUAACUAGAGGCAAUCAUGUUCACAGCAGACUGGUAGGCUGA